rnacentral:rRNA from 1 species
UACGUAUGGAGCAAGCGUUAUCCGGAUUUACUGGGUGUAAAGGGAGCGUAGGCGGCUCUGUAAGUCUGAUGUGAAAAUUUGGGGCUCAACCCCAAACGUGCAUUGGAAACUGCAGGGCUUGAGUGCCGGAGAGGCAGGCGGAAUUCCUAGUGUAGCGGUGUAAUGCGUAGAUAUUAGGAGGAACACCAGUGGCGAAGGCGGCCUGCUGGACGGUAACUGACGCUGAGGCUCGAAAGCGUGGGGAGCAAACAGG